GAUGAAGAACGCAGCGAAAUGCGAUACUUGGUGUGAAUUGCAGAAUCCCGUGAACCAUCGAGUCUUUGAACGCAAGUUGCGCCUGAAGCCUCGGCUAAGGGCACGUCUGCCUGGGCGUCACGCAUCGCGUCUCCCCCAAACCGCCAAGGCGGAGGGGAAGGAAGAUGGCUUCCCGUGCCUCACCCGGCGCGGUUGGCCUAAAUUUGGAGCCCGCGGCACUUAGCUCACGCGGCGAUAGGUGGUGAACAAGGCCUUGGCCGUGCAAACAACCCGCUGCGAAGCUCUAUGUCACGUGCGCUCGUCGGACCCUUUGAAGUUGCCUUCGGUGACUUAAAACCUUUGCGACCCCAGGUCAGGCGGGGCUACCCGCUGAAUUUAAGCAUAUCAAUAAGCGGAGGA
rnacentral:misc_RNA from 1 species